ACUCAAAGGAAUAGACGGGGGCCCGCACAAGCGGUGGAGCAUGUGGUUUAAUUCGAUGCAACGCGAAGAACCUUACCAGGGCUUGACAUGCCCACGAGCCGUUACCCGUGGUCUUUCUUUGAAAGAAGGAAGGGCCUUCUUGUCAGCGGUGACAAGUUGGUAUGCACAGGUGGUGCAUGGCUGUCGUCAGCUCGUGUCGUGAGACGUCGGGUUCAGUCCCGUAACGAGCGCAACCCUUAUCAUCUAGAUUCUUUUACAAGCUAGUGAGACUGCCGGUGACAAGCCGGAGGAAGGUGAGGAUGACGUCAAGUCAGCAUGCCCCUUACGCCCUGGGCGACUCACGUGCUACAAUGGCCGGGACAAUGAGUUGCUACUCCGCGAGGAGACGCUAAUCUCAGAAACCCGGUCUCAGUUCGGAUUGCAGGCUGCAACUCGCCUGCAUGAAGGCGGAAUCGCUAGUAAUCGCCGGUCAGCCACACGGCGGUGAAUACGUUCCCGGGCCUUGUACACACCGCCCGU
rnacentral:rRNA from 1 species